ensembl:lncRNA
GGGGAGGCUUUAAACCACGGCUUUAUUUUUAGAUCCAGUAAUUUUAUCUUUUGGGUUUCGGAGGGGUUUGGAAAGAAAGAGAGAGAGGAAAAAAAAAAAAAAAAAAGCCUUUUUUUUCUUUUAAUUCUUCUUUUUCUCCACUUUCGCCACACGAACGGCUCUCAGAGCAGAAAGUUACGGGGAAAAAAAAAUAGCGAAAACUUGGAGAUAUUUUCCCUCCUCAUUUACUUUUUCUUCGCAAACAGCGGUGCUUUUGGGGGGGACCUUUUCCUCCUUUUUUUUUUUUUUUUUUUCCUUGCUGGUGUAUCGCCGCGCGUUUCGCCUCCACAAUAGGUUUAUUCUCCAGCCCUCCGGGUCGAAGUGUGUUUCAGUUACAAAUCGGGAUUUUUUCGCUCCUCUCUCCCCUCUCUGCCUCAGAGGAUCUGCAGUUUCAAAAAGCCGAUUGAACACGGCGUGAAAGCGUGAGGCUGACGACUCCCCCGCCUCCUACCGCCACUCUCUCUAGUCCUCGUUCCGUGCCCCGCAAGGAGGAGCCCCCCGCGGAGCCCCCGGCGCAUCGCAUCCCCGCUUUCCCCCCCUCAUGUCCCCAGCACCUCGCACCCCUCGUGGAUGUCACCAGCAUCGCAGUUUCAAGGCUGGGGAUGGUGCUCCCAGCUCAGCCGGGCGCUUUCAUUCAUAAAAUGACAAGCCCCGACAGAUCUCCGCACCGCGGGGGGAGAAGGAUUGUAUCCAUGAAUGUGUGUAUAAUGAACCCAGAAGGAAUGCAGCACUAAAAGAAGCCUUUGUAAUGUUGCUAUUUUAAGGAGACCCUUGGGUAUGGCACGUGUUGAACUGAGUUUCUCCAACAUCUUACAACAAACCAAAAUGUUUAGAUCCUCCUACUGAUGUAAGACAGCAUAAAAAAAAUACAUAAUCAAUCUAAACUGGCUAAGGUUUUGACCAGGAAUUAUUGCUCCUGUGAAUUGGCUCUGUAUUGUAGCUAACUUUUACACGGCCUAAUAAUAAACAUCUCCUCCUCCCAGCUGGGUGAAUGUUUCCCCUCUGCUGGAGAUCAGGUCCCAGCCUGGAUAAAACACCUCUUGUCCUUUCUCUCCUCGGUCACUCAGGUUCAGUGAAACAUCAUGACUUACAUCAGCCAAAGCCUUUGAUCAGGGAGGGAAAGGUCUGACAUGGAUGGGGUUGGCAGCCACGCUGCAAGAAUCCCUCAUUGUGCAAGAAGCCAGUCCAAUGACCGACUGUCACCAAGGGUGAGACAGCCUUUUCUGCUCUGUUUGCUCUGUUUUCACUUGGCUAUUGCUGGCGUUUUGUUUGCAAAAUCAAGGCCAAAAUAUACAAGAAGCAGCUUCGAACAUGUUGGGUUUGUGCAUUAAGCCAGAUAGCCAUCAUUAAUUUCUGGCCAUUUUUGUUGUAUGUGUUGUAAAGAGCAGAAUUUUGCUGUCAGCAUUUUGUUUUCACAUGGUCAGAGAGGAGAAGGAGUAUAAUAGAGGUCCAAUUGACACUGUUUACACAAAGAUGAAGUCGUAACUCUUGGCUGAGAUGACUGUGGAAGUGGUGUGUGAUGGCUUCUUUGUUGGCUCUUUAAGAAAACAUCUGCUCUGGAACUCGUGGACAAAAUCUAGGGUGAAAAAUUCUCUCAUUGCAAAAUGAGAAGCCGGAUGAAAAGCCCAGAGAAGCUGUGGGUGCUCCAUCUCUGGAGGUGCUCAAGGCCAGGUUGGAUGGGGCCCUGGGCUGCCUGAUCUGGAAGGUGGUAAUCCUGCCCAUGGCCCCGGGUUGGGACUGGAUGACCUUUGAGGAUGUUUCCAGCCUAGGCCGUUCUAUGAUUCUAUGAGUUUCUCCAAUAGCAUCCAGCACUCAAGGAACAGGGCUGCUUUGGAAAUGUAUGUCAGAAUAAGAAAAAUACAUUUUUUGUACUCACACAUUGAACAGCGAAUGAAUGCUCAAGAAGAAUGAGGGUGAGAAUUGAAUCCAUUAAAACACUUUCUGGGACAAUAUUUUUGCUUUCAGCAGCUUUCUCUUCUGCUUUGCUUCAAUUCCUUCUAAACGCUGCUCCCCUUCCUCCAGGUGGUAUGAAAUAAAAAACAGUAAUAAAUAGAUUUUUCUAUAUAGGAAAAAAAUCAAAAAUAAAAAUAUAU